ACAGGUUCAGGAACAAAGGUCUUGGGAUCCUGAAAUGACAAUAGUUCAGGAAAAGACAGCCCCGGAAAAUCCAAGUCGAGUAGAUCCAAAGGGUCCUCCUGAUGUAGCGACUCCACAGAAGAAACAUCAGAAUAAACAGAUAUUUCCUGGUUUGGGGCACUGAAUAAUAACAGAAGGAGCAGAAGACUCUGUCACCAUGGGCAUUCCUCUGGUGACGAGACAGUUUGUGUUUGGAAAAGAACCUCCGUCCACAGUCAUCACAUUGAUGCAAAGGUUCCUCAGAGGGAGCAGCAAGGGAGAAGAGAUGUUUCAAAACAGGAUCUUGUCUCUGGGCUUGUGAGAGUUCAUCAUUGGACUUGGACUGGAACCAAGAAAGGUUAUCGUCAGACUCCCCUGAAACUAAACUGGCUUCCACUGUAGACAUGGCAUUGACUUGAUGCUGAUCAUCGACUGAUUCGAAGUUCAGACAGGAAGUUUGGGUUGACACAUGAACAACAGCUUCACUGGAAUGAGUGAUUUUGUCUUCUUGUUUCUCGCAAAAUUUACAAGAAAUGCAUGGUCGACGAGACAAACCAUCAGCAUUAGAAUGUUGUUUUCCAGGACGAUGCCGAAUAUCAAAGUUGUAUGUAUCGAGAACUUGGAUCCACCUAGCUAGCUGACCCUCAGGAUUUUUAAAACGUCGUAACCAGCUAAGAGCACCAUGGUCUGUCCUGACAAGAAAUUUUGUUCCAAAUAAAUAGUAAUGAAAGUGCUUAAUCGCUUCAACAACAGCUAAGAGCUCUUUCCUGGUAAUACAAUACUGUCGCUCAUGCUUGGACAGGCACCUGCUAUAAUAUGCAACAACAUGUUCUCCGUCUUCAUGAACCUGGGACAAAACAGCGCCGAUAGCUGUACCACUAGCAUCAGUAUCUAAUAUAAAUGACUUGGACAUAUCUGGGUAGGACAUUAUAGGUUUUGUCAUUAAAGCAGAUUUAAGACGCUGAAAAGCAAUAUCACAUUCUUUGGUCCAUCUGAACAGGGCUGUUUUCUCGGUCAAUUUAUGCAAAACCUUCGCAAUGUCAGCAAAUCCUUUGAUAAAACGGCGAUAGUAUGAAAUGGUUCCAAGAAAGCUUCUUAGGUCUUUCACAUUAGAGGGUAUGGGCCAGUUCUUGACUGCUUCAAUUUUACUGGGACAUGGUUCGAUGCCAUGUUCAGACACUAUAUGUCCUAGAAAUUUGACCUUUCUUUGAAACAAAUUGCAUUUCUUUGGAGAUAUCUUAAGUCCAGCAUGACUUAUACGUUUCAAAACAUCACCAAGACGAUCUAAAUGGGUCUCAAAGGAAUCAGAAAAGAUGAUGAUAUCAUCGAUGUAAACAAGACAAGUCUCCCACUGUAAUCCAGCUAGGACGCUCUCCAUGAGUCGCUCAAAAGUCGCGGGACUAUUACAAAGACCGAAGGGCAUUUUGGUAAACUCGUAUAGUCCGCUAUUUGUUACGAAAGCUGUUUUCUCUUGGUCCAACGGAUCCAUUUUUACCUGCCAGAAACCUGACUGUAAAUCAAGUACAGAAAACCACGAAGAUCCGCGUAAAACAUCUAGGGAGUCAUUGAUUCUGGGCAGAGGAUAAGAGUCUUUUAUUGUGACUUCAUUGACUUUACGGUAAUCGACACAGAAUCGUAUGGAGCCGUCUGAUUUGCGCACAAUGACAAUAGGGGAAGCCCAAGGAGAUUUUGAGGGCUUAAUAACACCAACAUCUAACAUUCGUUUCAAUUCCGUCGAAACUUCCUCUUUUUGGUUUAUGGGUAUACGUCUAGGGGCUUGUUUUAUGGGACGAGCUUGACCCGUAUUUAUUUUAUGUAAAACACAAUCUGUUUCUCCUAAAUCGUCUUUAGAGGUUGCAAACACACUUGAAUAGUUACGCAGAAGAUUGCACACUUUCUUCAAUUCUACAUCGCUUAAAUUGUCUCUACAUGAGUCAAGAACAACUUUGAUAUGGUCAGGAACAGACACGUUGUCCUCUGGUACCUUUAAAAGGUCAAGGUUAUUUAAAGUAUGCGCAUUCAUUUUAUCACAAGAUUGAUUUUGAAAUGAUACUACAUCACUCUCAAGAACCACCUCACACUCUGACGCAACCGUAUUUUUGUAAAUGGUUUGUGGAGUAUCAGAAACAUUGACAACACGCACAGGUAUUUCAGAUUUAUUUGGGUCAAAAACAC